UGGGGAAUAUUGCACAAUGGGGGAAACCCUGAUGCAGCGACGCCGCGUGAACGAAGAAGGUAUUCGUAUCGUAAAGUUCUGUCCUAUGGGAAGAUAAUGACAGUACCAUAGAAGAAAGCUCCGGCUAAAUACGUGCCAGCAGCCGCGGUAAUACGUAUGGAGCGAGCGUUGUCCGGAAUUAUUGGGCGUAAAUGGUACGCAGGCGGUUUAAUAAGUCGAAUGUUAAAGAUCGGGGCUCAACCCCGCAAAGCAUUGGAAACUGAUAAACUUGAGUAGUGGAGAGGAAAGUGGAAUUCCUAGUGUAGUGGUGAAAUACGUAGAUAUUAGGAGGAAUACCAGUAGCGAAGGCGACUUUCUGGACACAAACUGACGCUGAGGUACGAAAGCGUGGGGAGCAAACAGG
rnacentral:rRNA from 1 species